CCUCGUAGCAGUGUUCUGGAAUCCUAUAUGGGGGACAAACACUCAGAACCCUGCAGCAGUGUUCUGGAAUCCUUUGUGAGGG
rnacentral:miRNA from 10 species